AGGUCUUGACAUACCAUUGACCGUUCUAGAGAUAGGAUUUUCCCUUCGGGGACAAUGGAUACAGGUGGUGCAUGGUUGUCGUCAGCUCGUGUCGUGAGAUGUUGGGUUAAGUCCCGCAACGAGCGCAACCCCUGUCGUUAGUUGCCAGCAUUCAGUUGGGGACUCUAACGAGACUGCCAGUGACAAACUGGAGGAAGGUGGGGAUGACGUCAAAUCAUCAUGCCCCUUAUGACCUGGGCUACACACGUGCUACAAUGGUUGGUACAAAGAGAAGCGAAGCGGUGACGUGGAGCAAACCUCAUAAAGCCAAUCUCAGUUCGGAUUGUAGGCUGCAACUCGCCUACAUGAAGUUGGAAUCGCUAGUAAUCGCGAAUCAGAAUGUCGCGGUGAAUACGUUCCCGGGUC
rnacentral:rRNA from 1 species